GGGACUGCUCCUGAUGUUAGCGGCGGACGGGUGAGUAACACGUGGGUAACCUGCCUGUAAGACUGGGAUAACUCCGGGAAACCGGGGCUAAUACCGGAUGGUUGUUUGAACCGCAUGGUUCAAACAUAAAAGGUGGCUUCGGCUACCACUUACAGAUGGACCCGCGGCGCAUUAGCUAGUUGGUGAGGUAACGGCUCACCAAGGCAACGAUGCGUAGCCGACCUGAGAGGGUGAUCGGCCACACUGGGACUGAGACACGGCCCAGACUCCUACGGGAGGCAGCAGUAGGGAAUCUUCCGCAAUGGACGAAAGUCUGACGGAGCAACGCCGCGUGAGUGAUGAAGGUUUUCGGAUCGUAAAGCUCUGUUGUUAGGGAAGAACAAGUACCGUUCGAAUAGGGCGGUACCUUGACGGUACCUAACCAGAAAGCCACGGCUAACUACGUGCCAGCAGCCGCGGUAAUA
rnacentral:rRNA from 1 species